AAAGUCUACGUCUUUUAAAAAAUAGUUGGUGUAUUUUCAAAGCAUUUGGAUGCUCGGAUUAUAUCCGUUCUUUGAGAUUUGCAAGGCGCUUUUCAAAACAUGAGUUGUAUAGUCAAGUUUGUAAAUAAUCUGUGGAAAAGAAUGUUGCAAAAAUUCUAUUUGACCUCCUGCACCUGCUUGGCCCUGGUCUCCUUUGACACGUAUUAUGUCCUCUCUGGCCAGGCUAUUUGCUUCUCCUUCUGUGGCAGGGCAAAUCUUUUUUUGCUUUUCCAUCUCAAGCCAUGAGAGUUAUGACAGGGGUGGUUGGGUCUUAGAAUAAGAUAGAGGAGGACACAGAAGAGCACAUUAUGUGCUCUCUUAGUGUAUCUGUGGCUGGAUUUUAGGUGGAGAGAGAAAGUGAAGAGAUUUGGGCUCACAGGUAAGGCUACAGAACGGUGCCUGGGAAGGUUGGGAGGCAGCUGGGCACACUCAUAUGGUGAUGUGGAUGACCAUCGUGCUGCAACCCAUCUUGUAUUGUGGUGCUGUCUUGAUGUUUCUGUCUUCCCCACCAUACUCUAAGCUCUUCUCAGGAAAAACCCAUUUGUCAUUUUGUAGGUUUAAAAAAAGGUCCAAUACCAGCAAUUCAAAUGGUUAGAACUGAACAUAAUGCACUGCGUGAGCCAGGGACAGACUGGAUUUUCCCCACCAUCUCUGUCCCUCCCCAGCAGCAUUGCCUUGGGCAAGUCUCUUAAUCUGGAUGAGCCUUAUUUUCUACACUUAUACCGUGGGGCAAAACAUACACUUCCUCCUAGGGCUGCUGGGAAUAUUAAAUUAUUAAUAAAUAAUGCACGUGUAUUUGUGCCUGCCAUGUAAUAAAUACACUGUAAGUCGUGCCUAUGACGUUUCUAAUUUAUUGUUUCAGUUUCUGAAGCCUAGCACCAAUCCUGCUUAUACUGGGUGCUCAGUAAUGUUUGUUAAAUACAAAACAGCUAAGUUGAAGCCUAUGGUUGUGUUAAAUGCCCAACGAAUACUUACUGCAUGAGCGAGUGGUUCUUGUCCCAGAUCAAAUGGCCCAGAGACCCACCUGGGAGUUACUCAUCUCACAGUUAGCUCUGAGAAUUGUAGCCUGCGGGAGCUCCACUUCAAACAGGGAUUCUCAUGAAAAGCAAAUCAAAAGCGAAUUUGAAGGAGAGGCAAAAUACAUUGUUUCUUAUUAGGCCUGCUGUUUGAUUUUCAUUAGGCAUCCUGCCUGAUUCUUAUUAGGACUGCCCUGAUUUCUUUUAGGUCCUGGUCAUUUAGGGUCAGUGCUCAUGUGCUUUAUAAAUGAUGUCAUUAUUUGACUUUAUUACAUACAUGAUGUAGGUAAUGAUUCAGGGUUUAUUCCACAAAAUAAUCCUAAGCACCUAAUGCUGAUUGGUUUAAUGAUACAAAAACUAAUUUGGAAGGAAUGGAAGGUUUCCUGGGGCACAGCUGAUGAUGUGAAUGUGAAAAGGCUUCAUUUCCCACAUUUAAAGAAUGGAAACAACAUGCAAUUACGUGUUCUUCGAUGAGGUGUUUUCUUUGAAAUGGUAGAACUUGGAACGUCUCCAUAUGAGAAAGGUGGAAAAACUUAAGUAACUGUGCCAAGGUCAGUUUUCCUUUUUUAUUUCCUUUAUUAUUGUUAUAUUUAUUCUUGGCUAUAAACAUAUGCUUUCUCAUUUUUUUCUCUUUCUUUUAAUAUGAAAACCUAAUGGGGAGACUGAUGAGAUUGGCCAAGUCUGUGAAAUUAAAAUGAAUUUUGUAAUUUUGUUUAUCAGCUUGGGGUCAAUGACAUGGAAAUUCUGUAAGUUAUAAAUGUAAAUAUGAACAUGAAUUCCAUGUGCUGAAUUCACUCAUGCAGAAGGCGGGCCCAUUCCCACUCUGCGCCAUCACCCACCUCCCAACAGUUAACAAUUAGCUAGUUAAAUAAGCCACCUUGGGGUUCUGUGUGUCUGUGCUACUUGGCUCCCUGCGGUGCUUAUCCAAGCUCUUUAUGAAAGAUUUGUGCUUGGAUCUGAUUCUCAUGAUACAUUAAUAAAGGUGAAAACCGGUCUUUUUUUUUUUGGUGUUUUUCUUUAGGAUGGGAUGUGAUAGGAGAGCACACGGAAUGACCCCGGUCACCCACCAUAGAAAUCAGUUCAAGUACCGACUUCAGUAGUGAGCUUUUAAACUGGUCUUAAUUAGAUGACACUAGGGGGACGAAAACAGCACAGACACCAAGACCAUCAAUAGAACUGAAACAACGCAAGAUGGCAAAUCCAGAUCAAACCUAAAGCAGUUGAUCUUGGCAACACCUCACAUGUAACCCAAGACCAAAAUAGUUACAUUCGGA
ensembl:lncRNA